rnacentral:sRNA from 1 species
UUAACAGCCAUGGAGACAGAAGUCCCCUAUUAAUCCACAGAGCAGGUGCAGCAUUAACAAUGGUGACGCAAGCUUCCCUGCACACGUAUCUGAACUCUGACCUGGAGAGACCAGCUUUAGGAGUGAAAGGAGAGCUCAGUGACCCAUGUUCACUGUAACAAUGCGGUUCU